rnacentral:rRNA from 1 species
UACGGGGGGGGGCAAGCGUUUGUUCGGAAUUACUGGGCGUAAAGGGCUCGUAGGCGGCCAACUAAGUCAGACGUGAAAUCCCUCGGCUUAACCGGGGAACUGCAUCUGAUACUGGAUGGCUUGAGUUCGGGAGAGGGAUGCGGAAUUCCAGGUGUAGCGGUGAAAUGCGUAGAUAUCUGGAGGAACACCGGUGGCGAAGGCGGCAUCCUGGACCGACACUGACGCUGAGGAGCGAAAGCCAGGGGAGCAACGGG